UGCGUAGGCGGCUUAGCAAGUCAGAUGUGAAAGCCCGGGGCUCAACCCCGGGACUGCAUUUGAAACUGUUAAGCUAGAGUACAGGAGAGGAAAGUGGAAUUCCUAGUGUAGCGGUGAAAUGCGUAGAUAUUAGGAGGAACACCAGUGGCGAAGGCGACUUUCUGGACUGUAACUGACGCUGAGGCACGAAAGCGUGGGGAGCGAACA
rnacentral:rRNA from 1 species